rnacentral:rRNA from 1 species
UAGAUGCGAGAGUAGAGCAUAUCAAUAAGCGGAGGAAAAGAAACUAACAAGGAUUCCCUUAGUAACGGCGAGUGAAGCGGGAAGAGCUCAAAUUUGAAAUCUUCAAGGUUCUACCUUGACGAAUUGUAGUUUAAUAGAAGUGUUUUCUGUUAGUAAGUUCGGCUAAGAGUUCUUUGGAAUAGGACAUCAUAGAGGGUGAGAAUCCCGUAUUUGACCGUUAUUCUUUCUAGCUGUGUGAUACACUUUCAACGAGUCGGAUUGUUUGGGAAUGCAGUCCAAAAUGGGUGGUAAAUUUCAUCUAAAGCUAAAUAUUGGCGAGAGACCGAUAGCGAACAAGUACCGUGAGGGAAAGAUGAAAAGAACUUUGAAAAGAGAGUUAAACAGUACGUGAAAUUGUCAAAAGGGAAGCGUUUGACACCAGUGUUGUUUUUCCGAAAAUCAAUUACGAAUGUUUUAUUUUUGAAGAAGUUAUGACUUCAUCGGCUUGCUUCCUUUCUUUAUCGAAACCUUUCUUAAUGCACUUUUCGGUUAACAAGUCAACAUCAAUUUCUUUUGUUGUAAAAGGGUACUGAGGAAGGUGGCUUUACUUUUCGGAGUAAAGUGUUUAUAGCCUUGUGACUCUGCAAUCGGAGAGAUUGAGGUCUGCAGCGUAGAUCCUUCGGGGCUAGAUACGUUUGUGCUAAGUUAUAGCUUUUCAUAGACAACUUGUUGACUAUGUUUAGUCUUGUAGCUUACUCGCAUGACGCUAUUUUACCUACGCUUAGGAUGUUGACGAGACUGUCGAUCUC